GUAAUAUGAAAAAGUUAUUUAAAUUUCAUUUCACGUUGUCCUUUUGAAUCCUCGCAUUAAUAAAAUCGGUUUCAGUGGAAAUAUCAGCAGCAAGAAAUAUAAAAUACUAACAGCAAGAUUUUUUUUUUUAAUGCCCAUAAGAAGAAGCUUGGAAAUUGACACUCGGUUGCCAGGCACGUUUUACAGCUUUGCUGUUUACCAUGGACCAGAGAUAAUUUUCCUUAUGGAGAAUUUACGAGUUUCCAGAUGCAUUAUGCUGAAGAUAGCCAGGAUCCAGCACAAGGUUGGUGUCCCACUACAAAGCAAGGGCCUGCCACAACCAGACGCAUGUUUCAAUGACAUUGAAAGACUCACCUUGGACUUAUCGCCGACUUGUCAAACAGAACUCCGAUAUCUGAGUUUGUCAAGAUCUCAAAGGACGUGAAGUGUAUUUGUAUUAUCAUAUAAAGCACG
rnacentral:lncRNA from 1 species